AUCCACGCCAAGUCCGAUCUCAGAAGCUAAACAGGGUUAAGCCUGGUUAGUACUUGGAUGGGGGACCACCUGAGAACAGAAGGUGCUGUGGGUA
rnacentral:rRNA from 1 species